UCUGACUAUCCCUACCUUGAAAAUGUCCCCAGUAUAAAAAUUUCCAUGGACAUGUUGGAGCAGGAGCCCAUGUUGAAGAAUAAAUCUGUGGAUAGAGAUGAGUCGCAGAUUUUCCUUACCCCUCAUUCGGCGUGCUGAACAGUACUUUGAGUCUUCCACAGUGGCCGAGUAAUCUUGACAGGGGUUCGUAUACCAAAGGUUCACCUCAGAUACGAAUACACUGUGACUCCAUGGAAAAUGUAUUUUUUGCAGAAGAAGGGCUUUGAAAUCGAUCUGUGAAUGAAUCCAUGGGCAAUACUAUGUUUGGAAAUAUAUAUUUUAUUUAUUUUCUUUUACUAAAUGCUUGUUUUUAUCAUAUUUAUUGUGAUUCAAAACCAUUUGAAUGUAAGAUGUUGAAUUUAGUCUGUUGAAUG